rnacentral:rRNA from 1 species
CCUACGGGAGGCAGCAGUGGGGAAUAUUGGACAAUGGGCGAAAGCCUGAUCCAGCAAUUCCGCGUGUGUGAAGAAGGCCUUCGGGUUGUAAAGCACUUUAGUGGGGGAAGAAACAGCUUGGCCACACCAAGCCUUGACGGUACCCCAAGAAUAAGCACCGGCUAACUCUGUGCCAGCAGCCGCGGUAAUACAGAGGGUGCAAGCGUUAAUCGGAUUUACUGGGCGUAAAGGGUGCGUAGGUGGCUAUUUAAGUCGGAUGUGAAAGCCCGGGGCUCAACCUCGGAAUUGCAUUCGAUACUGAGUGGCUAGAGUUCGGUAGAGGGCGGCGGAAUUUCCGGUGUAGCGGUGAAAUGCGUAGAUAUCGGAAGGAACAUCAAUGGCGAAGGCAGCCGCCUGGGCCUGGACUGACACUGAGGCACGAAAGCGUGGGUAGCAAACAGGAUUAGAUACCCUGGUAGUCCACGCCGUAAACGAUAGAGAUAGUACGUGUUCGUUUACGUAUCGUGUGCNNACGACGAUAGUACUCCGCCGCGGAGGUACGGCCGCGAGUAGAACGACUAAUAGAGUUGAGCGUUGAGACGNGCGACGGCGACGACGAGGGAGGAGG